GAUGGGCCUGUGUUCAUCAAGGAGGCGUGGCCCCUCAUACUGCAUAGAAGAUGGCCACUCUAAGUGGCUCACUCUCAGGUGGCUUGGCCUUGGUUUUAUGUCUUAUCUCUCAUUCUUGGGAACACGUAAUUGCCACAGCAGCAAGGAGGCACACCACAGAGGGAAGUCAUAUCACAGAGGGGAAAUGGCUAUAUUAAGAUUACGGGGUUGGGGAUUUAGCUCAGUGGUAGAGCGCUUGCCUAGCAAGCACAAGGCCCUGGGUUCGGUCCUCGGCUCAAAAAACAAAACAAACAAACAAACAAAAAACAAUCAAGAUUACCCCCCACAUAUACUCCAUCCACAGACAGAUCACUCAGUUACAUUUAUCAUUCAUAAUAUAGGCCACACUUCUCUGCAACUCAUCUCUCAGCCACUAUUCAGAUGCCAAUUGCUUGUGCAACAUUUCCUGGGAAAACAUGAAAAUAUUUAUUCACCCUAGAUAGGGCCUGGAUGAGAGACCAAAUAAAUAACUUACUCUAGCUUGCUGAACCAAUAAAUUCUUUAGGGUUACUUAUAGGAGUAUGGGUGACUCAAAGAUAGUCACAUCCCUGUAUAGUGCACCCCACCAUGGGUAACGGCUCAGAAAAACUGCAUCUCUCAAUGCUACACAUAGCUAGCAGAUAGCUCCACUAAGAGUGUCUCAUCUCUCCUAUAAUUGUUUAUUGUUUCAUAGAUAACCUUUGAGAAAGGCUAUACGAACUUUUAAGUCUUAUAAGCUUCUAGAAUAUUGAGUCUUAGUCCUCCCUGCAAGAAUUUUAUAGUUCAGA
rnacentral:lncRNA from 1 species